AGAGUUUGAUCCUGGCUCAGAACGAACGUUAGCGGCGCGCCUAACACAUGCAAGUCGCACGAGAAAGGGCUUCGGCCCCGGUAAAGUGGCGCACGGGUGAGUAUCACGUGGGUAAUCUUCCCUCGAGCGGGGGAUAACAUUCCGAAAGGAGUGCUAAUACCGCAUAAGACCACGGCCUCGAAAGAGGCUGAGGUCAAAGC
rnacentral:rRNA from 1 species